GAUGAACGCUGGCGGCGUGCCUAAUACAUGCGAGUCGAGCGAACGGACGAGAAGCUUGCUUUUCUGAUGUUAGCGGCGGACGGGUGAGUAACACGUGGAUAACCUACCUAUAAGACUGGGAUAACUUCGGGAAACCGGAGCUAAUACCGGAUAAUAUUUUGAACCGCAUGGUUCAAAAGUGAAAGACGGUCUUGCUGUCACUUAUAGAUGGAUCCGCGCUGCAUUAGCUAGUUGGUAAGGUAACGGCUUACCAAGGCAACGAUGCAUAGCCGACCUGAGAGGGUGAUCAGCCACACUGGAACUGAGACACGGUCCAGACUCCUACGGGAGGCAGCAGUAGGGAAUCUUCCGCAAUGGGCGAAAGCCUGACGGAGCAACGCCGCGUGAGUGAUGAAGGUCUUCGGAUCGUAAAACUCUGUUAUUAGGGAAGAACAUAUGUGUAAGUAACUGUGCACAUCUUGACGGUACCUAAUCAGAAAGCCACGGCUAACUACGUG
rnacentral:rRNA from 1 species